GAGGACGACUCCACGUCACUCCGUGAGACAAGCCCCUGACUGACUGCUCUGCUGUGCGAGCCUCAACCACCUGUGGCCGCCUGUCUGUCUUCGUCUGCGUCGUCCUUCUUUCGGUGUGCAUUGCCAGGUGGCCUUUGCUGGAGCCUAGGACCCACUAGGAAUAGGGCAGCAGUCACCAACCAGUGGUCCGUGGAGUCUGAAAGGUUGGCAACCGCUGCUCUAAGGGAGUCCAGGCUUGACUCUCUCACUGUUCCUCCAGGUGCUGCUACUGACACCAUUGUAAGUUUCAGACUCAUAAAACCAACGACUUGCUGGACUUACCAAUUUCAUCUGAAUAGGGCAUCUCAACCCCAGCCGGACAAAAAAAUUAAGUAAAUUCUUCAACUCCGAGCCCGAAGGAGCCCAGGUCGCGUCGGGAGGGUGCACCACGCACCACAGCAGAGAGAUUUCAAUAGAGUAAGGAACUGGCUAACCUGAGCUGAAAAGGCCAGAGGAGGGCACCGAGGAGACCGAGGAGACACACAGACAGUACCUGCCGGGAGCGGGCCCACCGGGCCGGAAGGCGAAGGCAGGCCGUGGGCCCUCGGAACUUACCAGCUGCGACCAGAACUCCUGCAGCUGGGAGGCCAGGCGUGAAGGGGGGCGCGGGGCCUGUUAGAACCCUCCGGUUGCACAGAAGAGGGGCCCAGCGGGACCCAGGCGUCCGAGGCAGAGCGCUGCCACUGCUGCCUUUCAGGGGGUAGGAGGAGGCUGCUGUUGUGCGGCAGCCCUCCCUCAGCCACAGUCCUGCCCUCCGCGGGUUUAGUGACCCACAGUCCGGAAACACGACAUGGAAAAAUCCAGAAGGAAGGAAUUCAUGCGUUUCGAAUUGCGCGCCGCGAGGUGUAGCGCGCUCAAAUCUCCGAGUCCCGUUCCCUCCCGUGAACGUGACGUGGUGCGACGUGACGUGGCGUGACGUGACGUGACUGGCGCCUGCGUCCAGCAUCCUCACGCUCUAGCCACGCCCCCUGCCUCAGUCACCUGCAGCUGUGCUGGCAGCCAAUUGACCACUGUGGUCUCGGGGUGCUUCUGUUCGAGUAACUUGUGUUUUACUUAGUCAUGCCUCACCUCCCGCAGUCUCAUCACGCAGACAUCAUCUCACGUCAUCGCAAGAAGGGUCCAGGCCUGGGUUCAUGGAAUGAGCUCACAGAAGGAAAAAUCCAGAGAAGACAAUUGUCAAGCCUCGUGAUGAUUCUCCCACAUUCACAAGUGAAG